UACGUAGGGUGCGAGCGUUAAUCGGAAUUACUGGGCGUAAAGGGUGCGCAGGCGGCGUCGCAAGUCAGGCGUGAAAUCCCCGGGCUUAACCUGGGAACUGCACUUAAAACUACGAUGCUGGAGUAUGGCAGAGGGAGGUGGAAUUCCACGUGUAGCGGUGAAAUGCGUAGAGAUGUGGAGGAACACCGGAUGGCGAAGGCAGCCUCCUGGGCCAAUACUGACGCUCAUGCACGAAAGCGUGGGGAGCAAACAGG
rnacentral:rRNA from 1 species